UACGUAGGGGGCAAGCGUUGUCCGGAAUCAUUGGGCGUAAAGCGCGUGUAGGCGGUUCGGUAAGUCCGCUGUGAAAGUCGGGGGCUCAACCCUCGGAUGGCGGUGGAUACUGUCGAGCUUGAGUACGGGAGAGGCGAGUGGAAUUCCUGGUGUAGCGGUGAAAUGCGUAGAUAUCUGGAGGAACACCGGUGGCGAAGGCGGCAUCCUGGACCGGCAUUGACGCUGAGGCGCGAAAGCCAGGGGAGCAAACGGG
rnacentral:rRNA from 1 species